CACCAGACUCCUACGGGAGGCAGCAGUGAGGAAUAUUGGUCAAUGGGCGGGAGCCUGAACCAGCCAAGCCGCGUGAGGGAAGAAGGUCCAGCGUAUCGUAAACCUCUUUUGUCAGGGAACAAAGGCGGGGACUAGUCCCCGGAUGAGGGUACCUGAAGAAAAAGCAUCGGCUAACUCCGUGCCAGCAGCCGCGGUAAUACGGAGGAUGCGAGCGUUAUCCGGAUUUAUUGGGUUUAAAGGGUGCGCAGGCGGCCUGUAAAGCAGGGGGAAAAAGCCGGGGGCUCACCCCCGGCGAGCCGUUGAAACUGGCGGGCUGGAGUUGGAGAGAAGUACGCGGAAUGCGCGGUGUAGCGGUGAAAUGCUUAGAUAUCGCGCAGAACCCCGAUUGCGAAGGCAGCAUACCGGCGGCGAUCUGACGCUGAGGCACGAAAGCGUGGGUAUCGAACAGGAUUAGAUACCCCGGUAC
rnacentral:rRNA from 1 species